rnacentral:rRNA from 1 species
GAGGCAGCAGUAGGGAAUCUUCCACAAUGGACGCAAGUCUGAUGGAGCAACGCCGCGUGAGUGAAGAAGGGUUUCGGCUCGCAAAGCUCUGUUGUUGGUGAAGAAGGACAGGGGUAGUAACUGACCUUUGUUUGACGGUAAUCAAUUAGAAAGUCACGGCUAACUACGUGCCAGCAGCCGCGGUAAUACGUAGGUGGCAAGCGUUGUCCGGAUUUAUUGGGCGUAAAGCGAGUGCAGGCGGCUCGAUAAGUCUGAUGUGAAAGCCUUCGGCUCAACCGGAGAAUUGCAUCAGAAACUGUCGAGCUUGAGUACAGAAGAGGAGAGUGGAACUCCAUGUGUAGCGGUGAAAUGCGUAGAUAUAUGGAAGAACACCGGUGGCGAAGGCGGCUCUCUGGUCUGUUACUGACGCUGAGGCUCGAAAGCAUGGGUAGCGAACAGGAUUAGAUACCCUGGUAGUCCAUGCCGUAAACGAUGAGUGCUAAGUGUUGGGAGGUUUCCGCCUCUCAGUGCUGCAGCUAACGCAUUAAGCACUCCGCCUGGGGA